rnacentral:lncRNA from 1 species
UGUAAGUAACUCCUCUUUUUCUCAAUAUAUUUUGUUGUUGUUUAGUACAAGAAUAACAGGUAGAGGCGAUCUAAGGCGGUAAUAUUAUGAUCUCAUCAUUCUUGUGAUUUUCAUCUAGGUCUUCCCAAUGGGAUCUCCACUAGUACCUGAUGUUUCAAGGGCAGUUUUAAGUGUGACAGAAAGUGAAAAGAUGGUACAAAUAGAGAAAGCAUGGUUUGGGGAAUCUACUUGUUCAGAUUCUAGCACUUCACUUUCCUCCAAUAGUCUUGGCCUAGAUAGCUUCUGGGGACUCUUUGUCAUAGCUGCAGUUGCUGCAAUUUUGGCUCUCCUCAUCUUUCUGACAAAAUUCAUGCAGGAGUAUUGGCACAUCAUAAAACGAUCUAAUCUUUCAUUCCGUGAAAGAGUCAGAAUCAUGGCUAGAAAGUUCGACAGAAAGGACUAUAGUUGCCAUACUUUCAAGAAGAGUGAACUAAGAGAUACAAUGAGAGAUUCAGCACAUAUGGAUUGUUCACAUAGUCCAAAUGAUAACUUGUCAAUGCUAUCUUCCCCACGAACGAAUGGACCACCAAGUCCAAGCAUUUCUAGUUAUACAGAGCAGAGUUUUCAUUUUCCAGGAGAGGUAGGAACUCCACCUUUACAUGAAGAGAAUGUAGCAGUUAGUACUACUCAGGAGAGUGUCAUUCAGUCGGCGGUUGAUCUAAGUGCAGGACAAUGAUGUUUUCUCUUUUCUAGCUUUUGAUUUGUAUAUUGGUGCAGAAACGGAUUAUGAUAGUUUUAAUAUUUGUAAGCCUCUAACAUGACUCUUACAUGGUAUUAAAUUCAUUUUUACUUCUUCCAUUGUGCAGAAAAACAAAUCAGAUAAUGUUAGAGCGAUUUGAUAGAAGAGAAUAUUCAAUGGCUCUGAUCAGGUGUUCUGUUGAAUCUUGGAACUGCAAUGGACAUGUUUUCCAUUAACUUCAAUAUGUCUGUGUUUUAGUUCAAUUACACACUCUCGUUGUACUACAAUUACAGGCUCAACGCCUUAGCCAUAUAUAGAAUCUAAUACUUUCCAACACGUAUUUCGUCAUAUAUAGCAUUAUCGUCUAUGAAGUGUCUCGGGCUACUAUGAUACAACGUAAUUCACAACAGGUCACAAGUAAGAACAAGUAAUUCACAUAAAAUCUCAUGUACAAGUAGUCAAUUACACAUAGUACUUAACAAAUAGGAGCACAUAAAUAAAUACUAGAAAUAGAGAGGGUUCCCACUCACCUCAAGCUACAACUACGGCACGAGCCUCAAACACCAUCUCCCAUGUCACCCUGUAGUAUUUUGUUAAUCUAACAAUAAUACAAGAUAAUCCAUCAAUUCGAGUCAUAGGAUAUAAGGACCAACCAAAAAACCCAAAAUCAACUACACUUAAACCUUAGGUUUUGAGCUCCUUCUAAAUCCUCCGGUACUAACUCAACAUCACUCAAACAACUAAAAUACACCAAUUGAAUUGAUUCCACAAUUAAAACUCACUUAUAAUGUUAAUAAACUCUAUUACUAGAAAUAAUAAGGUCCGCCAAUUCAAAACCAUAAUGCCAACUUCUCUAUUUAAUCAUCCAAAUUCUAACUUUUAUUUGAAACGGGAAAUAAUUAUUUUGACAAGCAAACAACGAAGAGAGAAGAGAAAAACUAAAGAAAAUGGAAAGCUUUCUUACGGGUGCGUCAAUGGCGAGAAAAGGGUAUGGCAGAAGGCAAAUUUUGUUUGCCUGUGUAUGAACUUCGUCGGCAACUCUAAACCCCUCUUAUCCUUUCUUUAGCUUUUCGUUUUUGUUUGCAAUUUCCUUCCCGUAGCCCCUUCACGCGUAAUAGCCUUUAUUUUGCAUAAAUAACC